rnacentral:rRNA from 1 species
AAACCAACAGGGAUUGCCUUAGUAGCGGCGAGUGAAGCGGCAAAAGCUCAAAUUUGAAAUCUGGCACUUUCAGUGUCCGAGUUGUAAUUUGAAGAAGGUAUCUUUGGGUCUGGCUCUUGUCUAUGUUUCUUGGAACAGAACGUCACAGAGGGUGAGAAUCCCGUGCGAUGAGAUGACCCAGACCUAUGUAAAGUUCCUUCGAAGAGUCGAGUUGUUUGGGAAUGCAGCUCUAAGUGGGUGGUAAAUUCCAUCUAAAGCUAAAUAUUGGCGAGAGACCGAUAGCGAACAAGUACAGUGAUGGAAAGAUGAAAAGAACUUUGAAAAGAGAGUGAAAAAGUACGUGAAAUUGUUGAAAGGGAAGGGCUUGAGAUCAGACUUGGUAUUUUGUAUGUUACUCUUUCGGGGGUGGCCUCUACAGUUUACCGGGCCAGCAUCAGUUUGGGCGGUAGGAGAAUUGCAAAGAAAUGUGGCACUGCUUCGGUAGUGUGUUAUAGUCUUUGUCGAUACUGCCAGCCUAGACUGAGGACUGCGGCUUCGGCCUAGGAUGUGCAUAUUCG